AGUAGAGAGUGGUGGAGAGAAAGAGAGAAGGUCAGAGAGGUCAGUAAAGUCCAGACCAUGCACAGCUUCAGGUCAGGUGAAGAAUGGGAAGCUAUUGGCAGAUUUUAAGCAGGGGAAUGUCAUGAUCUAAUGUUUUCAAAAGACCACUCUAGCAGGAGUGUGGUGGAGUGAGAGUGGGUGUGGGAAGAGCAGUUAUAUGACCAUUUAAGCGAUCUUAGCAGACAUGAUGGCAGCUCUGCAAUGAAGACCAGGAGAUGAACACGGGAUACAUUUUGGAGUUGUAGCUGAUCGGGCAUACUGAUGGAUUAGAGGGGGGUAGCAGUAAGCAAGUGGUUGAUGCUGUUAGCUGGGACUCAACUGGGGCUAUCUGCCAGAACUCACACAUGUGGUCUCCUCAUGUGGCAUGGACUCCCUCACAUCAUGGCAACCUAAGACUUCUUAUAUAGCAGCUCCAGGCUCCAAAGGGGUCUUUGAAGAGUUCACCCAGGAGCUUCAAAAUGAGGAACAGUGCUUGCAAUUUCCUUGAAUACUAAGAACAUCCAGCUAUUUGUAGACAGAUAAAAGAGAGCAGCCCCCAGAGGUGCUGAUCCAGCCAAGAUAGCUCAUCCAGUUCUCAACAGGACUAAAGGACUUAUCCUAUGCCUAGUUUUUCACUCCCCUCAGAGGGUCAGGUGAACUGGGGAGCAAGAGGAACUGGCGCCUUUCCCUACUUCUCUUUCAAUUCGUUUAUUGAGGUAACUGCACUGGGGAAAAGAUUAUAUCCAAAACUUUUGGAUUGCUCGACAUUAGAUGUUAACUCUGAGCUAAUACUAAUUUCCAGGGACCCAGAAUGAACUUAUCAAUGGAUAUCAGGUAUGCCUACCAUUUAAUGCUAACAAAGAUGAUACUUCCCAUUCCUUUCUUUCCUGCUCAAGAACAUGUUGAUAUACUAAUCUUGAAGCAGAAGAAACCAAGUUUUGAGGUGUUUUUGAAGUCAAAGUCUCCAAACUAUGAUUCUUGCUCACAAGUUGACCAACACAAUGAAAAUUGUUGCAAAAAUGUAAUCUUUAGUGAAAAAAACUGUCUGGGAGCCAUCUUGGCCAUAGCAUCCUGA
rnacentral:lncRNA from 1 species